CAGUGUCAAAACAAACCCAACACCAUAAGUAACACUAUAGAGUGGACUCGGAGGGGGCAGUGAGCAAAAAGAAAGGAACCAAAGAGUCGCAUCAUGCACUUAUAAAGUUUAGAUGAAAUGAACAUAAAAGUGCACCAGGCUGGAAUAUAACUGGUGGAAAUGUGGGCACAAAUGUCUUUUUGACUGGUUAAGUCUGUUAAUGAGAAAAAUUGCAUAGCUUCUAAUUGGCAUGCAUAUUAAAAAAUAUGCCCCAAACAAAUGGAAAUUAGAUAGGAUUCUGAACAUGCUGUGUAACAUGAGUCCAAAUGAACAGAACUCAGAGAGGAAAUUACAAGUGAAUUUUAGCAGUCACUACAAAUGAUCUCAAAUAGGUUCUUUAUAUUUACAAGUUUUUGUGAUGUCAAGUUGCAGGAGCUUGGGAAUUUUCCAGAGCUUGUUGCAGGUGCUGUGGCUCAGUGGAGGCCUGAGACUCUGGGACAAGAUUGAAGAUCCCAUCUCUAGCUUCAGUGAGUCACCAAAGACUGUGGGUGCUGAGACCACAACUCUGAAAAAGCUGUACAGAUGUGCUAAACACUGCGUGAUGCCAGUUUUCCCCGAGAAAUCAAGAAGACUUUUAUAAGAGUCUGUCAACCUUUGCAGCAGACCAGGCCCAGGUGUGGACCAGCUAUGACAAGAAGCUGAUGCUCCAGCCGUAAUUAGGGAAAGGUUGGUGGAGGAACACUGACAGAUACCUGGCCUCCAGAGGAGGUUGGGAGUCUCUGAGGAAGAAGAUGGUCUUUGAAUGCAAGUCCCCAAAAGCAAGGGCACUCACAGUUCUUCACAUAGCAGACAUUGAGGAUAUUCACAGCUGCUUUUAUCCCUCUCUGUAAACUGAUGAAGCCCCUACCAAAACACAAGUGCAAAUGAAAAUUCUGCCUUCAUCAUAGCACCAAGGUCUCAUCCUUUCUCUUCCAGCUUUAUUAACAGAAAGAAUGUUUGAAACAAAACCCGACCACAACAACAACCAAACCAUCAAAACAAAGUAACUCAGGGCAAGAACUUAGGCUUAGUUGUUGCUGGUUUUCCUUCUCU